rnacentral:rRNA from 1 species
GACGAACGCUGGCGGCGUGCUUAACACAUGCAAGUCGAACGGAAAGGCCCUGCUUGCAGGGUGCUCGAGUGGCGAACGGAUGAGUAACACGUGGGUGAUCUGCCCCUUACUUUGGGAUAAGCCUGGGAAACUGGGUCUAAUACUGGAUAGGACCAUGCUGUAGGUGGUGUGGUGGAAAGAUUAGUUUCGGUAAGGGAUGAGCUCGCGGCCUAUCAGCUUGUUGGUGGGGUAAUGGCCUACCAAGGCGUCGACGGGUAGCCGGCCUGAGAGGGUGGACGGCCACAUUGGGACUGAGAUACGGCCCAGACUCCUACGGGAGGCAGCAGUGGGGAAUAUUGCACAAUGGGCGCAAGCCUGAUGCAGCGACGCCGCGUGGGGGAUGACGGCCUUCGGGUUGUAAACUCCUUUCAGCCAUGACGAAGCCCUUGUGGUGACGGUAGUGGUAGAAGAAGCACCGGCUAACUACGUG